UACGAAGGGGGCUAGCGUUGCUCGGAAUGACUGGGCGUAAAGGGUGCGUAGGCGGUUCGUUAAGUCUGUUGUGAAAUCCCCGGGCUCAACCUGGGAAUGGCAAUGGAUACUGGCGAGCUAGAGUGUGAUAGAGGAUGGUGGAAUUCCCGGUGUAGCGGUGAAAUGCGUAGAGAUCGGGAGGAACAUCAGUGGCGAAGGCGGCCAUCUGGAUCAACACUGACGCUGAAGCACGAAAGCGUGGGGAGCAAACAGG
rnacentral:rRNA from 1 species